rnacentral:lncRNA from 1 species
UACGAGGCACCAUACCAGGAUCUCUACAGAGGUAAGAAGCAGCAGCGUCAAAUCCUGGAAAAUGAAAGGAACCAGCUUCAGACGAGUGUGAACACUACAACAGUGCAUAUUCAUAUGACCUGAGGAGAGGACAGAAGCAUGAAAGAUCACAAAAUGUUUCACAUGUAUUCCCAAAUAAGACUGUUGCUGAAACACAUCCAAACUGCAGCUAAUCAAGGGAAACAAUAAAAGAAUUUAAGCUGAGAAGUAAAGAUUAAUUUAAUUUACCUCUAUGUCUGCUCCAAGAAAUUUCUUUUGCAUUUUAGCGCUUCAUGCAAAUAGCUUACAACAACAAGAACAUUUCCGGUACCUUCUUCCAUCAUAUCCACUUUUCAACAAUUCAGCAAAUGGCAGUCAGUUCCUAAAUGAUAUUGUUCGCAAAGUAAACCCGGGAAUGCCAAGUCUCCAUCGACUGCUUGCGAAGGAUUAAGAUUCUGCUAUUAGUAAGUAGGUACAGUACACAUCUUGUCAUGCAAACAACAUCUGUUAAAUUUCUAAAUUAAAAUAACAACCACAUUACAGCAAAAAAGAAACACACAUAUAUCUACCUCAAUUACCAAAAGCACAUAUUUCCUGCGACUUAACUCUGUUAACCAUAAAAUAUCAAUUCAGGUUCAAAGCUUAUUCAAUAGAAAUCCCACUGAAUGGUCCCUACUGGAACAAAAAGAGAUCACACAUGAUGCAUACAGAAGGCAAAUGAUUUUCAAAGUGUAACCUAAGCUACUUACUUACGAAGCCUUUGAUCCCAAACAAGUUGGGGUAGGCUAGAUAUGAAACCCUUUCACGAGGACUUCCCAGGAGGUCACCCAUCCU